rnacentral:rRNA from 1 species
GUUAUAAUUCUAGCCAACAUAAUUUACCCCUUAAACUGCAUAAAACAAAUCAUUUCCUUAAGUAGUAUAGGUGAUAGAAACUUUAUUAUGAGCAAUAGAAAAAGUACUGCAAAGGAAAGGUGAAAUAAAAAUGAAAUAAAUUACCUAAACAAAUCAAAGAAAAGAUUAAAACUUAUACCUUUUGCAUAAUGGUCUAGUUAGUUAAACUUAACAAAAAGAGUUAAAGUUAAUCAUCCCGAAACUAGACGAGCUACUUAAGAGCAGCACAAAAGAGCCAACCCUUCUCUGUGGCAAAAGAGUGGGAAGACUCUUAAGUAGAGGUGAUAUACCUAUCGAGCCUAGUGAUAGCUGGUUGCUUGAGAAAUGAAUUUUAGUUCAGCUUUAAGUGCCUUAAUUAAUAAAAAAAUAUAAUAUUACUUUAAAGUUAGUUAAUAGAGGUUCAGCUCUAUUAAUAAAGGAUACAACCUAAAAUAUAGGUAAAGAUUAUAAUAACUAAAGAAACGAGCCCCGUUGGCUUAAAAGCAGCCACCCAAAGAAAGCGUCAAAGCUCUACUCAUAAUAACCUUAUUAUUCUAAUAAUAAAUCUUAACCUACACACACUAUCAAGCCUAUCUAUAUUAUAGAUGAGUUUAUACUAGAAUGAGUAAUAAGAAACCCCUCUCUAAAUACAUGUGUAAAUCAGAACGAAUAUAUCGCUGAUAAUUAACGUCUAAUAUAUUAUUACACAAGAAAAACCUAUUCAAUUCACCGUUAAUCCAACACAGGAGUAUAAAAGAAAGAUUAAAAGGUCAAAAAGGAACUCGGCAAACAAGAACUUCGCCUGUUUACCAAAAACAUCGCCUCUUGCUAACCAAGUAUAAAAGGUCCUGCCUGCCCAGUGAUAUAUUUAACGGCCGCGGUAUCAUGACCGUGCAAAGGUAGCGUAAUCACUUGUCUUUUAAAUAAAGACCUGUAUGAAUGGCAAAACGAAAGUUCAACUGUCUCUAUGAUCCAAUCAAUAAAAUUAAUUUUCCCGUGCAGAAGCGGAAAUAAAUUUAUAAGACGAGAAGACCCUAUGGAGCUUUAAAUAUAUAACUAAUUAUAAUUAUUAUACCAAUCUAGGGGAAAAAAAGAUAUAUUAUAAACUAGUUAGAAUUUUGGGUUGGGGCGACCACGGAGAAAAACUUAUCCUCCGAGAUAAAAAUUUAGAAAAACACAUCUAAAACUAAAAUAUUUAUUAUAAAUGAUCCACUAAGUGAUCAACGAACCAAGUUACCCUAGGGAUAACAGCGCAAUCCUUUCUAAGAGUCCUUAUCGACGAAUGGGUUUACGACCUCGAUGUUGGAUCAGGACACCCCAAUGGUGCAGCCGCUAUUAAAGGCUCGUUUGUUCAACGAUUAAAGUCCUACGUGAUCUGAGUUCAGACCGGAGCAAUCCAGGUCAGUUUCUAUCUAUACAUAGAUUUUUUCUAGUACGAAAGGACCGAAAAAAUAGAGCCUCUUUUUAAAAAAGCUCUUUACACUAUUGAACCCAAUUAAAAUAGUCUAACUAAGACAUCCUUAGAAAAAGGAACAA